rnacentral:rRNA from 1 species
GUGGGGAAUAUUGGACAAUGGGGGCAACCCUGAUCCAGCAAUGUCGCGUGUGUGAAGAAGGCCUGCGGGUUGUAAAGCACUUUCAGCGAGGAAGAAGAUCUUGUCUCUAACAUAGGCAAGGGAUGACGUUACUCGCAGAAGAAGCACCGGCUAACUCUGUGCCAGCAGCCGCGGUAAUACAGAGGGUGCGAGUGUUAAUCGGAGUUACUGGGCGUAAAGGGUGCGUAGGUGGUUUUGUAAGUUAGGUGUGAAAGCCCAAGGCUCAACCUUGGAAUUGCGCUUAAUACUGCAAGGCUAGAGUGCUGUAGAGGGAAGUGGAAUUUCCGGUGUAGCGGUGAAAUGUGUAGAUAUCGGAAGGAACACCAGUGGCGAAGGCGACUUCCUGGGCAGCAACUGACACUGAGGCACGAAAGCGUGGGUAGCAAACAGG